GGGUUGUGAGGUUAAGCGACUAAGCGUACACGGUGGAUGCCCUGGCAGUCAGAGGCGAUGAAGGGCGUGCUAAUCUGCGAUAAGCGCCGGUAAGGUGAUAUGAACCGUUAUAACCGGCGAUACCCGAAUGGGGAAACCCAGUGUGACUCGUCACACUAUCAUUAACUGAAUCCAUAGGUUAAUGAGGCGAACCGGGGGAACUGAAACAUCUAAGUACCCCGAGGAAAAGAAAUCAACCGAGAUUCCCCCAGUAGCGGCGAGCGAACGGGGAGGAGCCCAGAGCCUGAAUCAGCAUGUGUGUUAGUGGAAGCGUCUGGAAAGACGCGCGAUACAGGGUGACAGCCCCGUACACAAAAGCGCAUGUGCUGUGAGCUCGAUGAGUAGGGCGGGACACGUGGUAUCCUGUCUGAAUAUGGGGGGACCAUCCUCCAAGGCUAAAUACUCCUGACUGACCGAUAGUGAACCAGUACCGUGAGGGAAAGGCGAAAAGAACCCCGGCGAGGGGAGUGAAAAAGAACCUGAAACCGUGUACGUACAAGCAGUGGGAGCACCCUUUGGG
rnacentral:rRNA from 1 species